rnacentral:lncRNA from 1 species
CGCCCUCGGCGCGCGCCCUGCCCGCGCCCCGCGCCCCGUCCCCGCCAGCUCCGCUCCGCCGCCGGCGGGUUCCUGCUUCCGUCUGCUCCCGCCGCUCCCCGCCCGCCAGCCCCGCCGCCCCCCCGCCCGGCACCCGUGGCAGCGGCAGCGCGGGCUCCGCCGGCGGCGCCGGCACUCCGUGUCCUCAAGUCCUUCAGCAGAUAAGAUCCUGCUGUCCUGGCUUUGAAGAGACAGUCACAGAUUUGUGA